CCUACGGGAGACUGCAGUGGGGAAUCUUGCACAAUGGGGGAAACCCUGAUGCAGCAACGCCGCGUGAGUGAAGGAGUAUUUCGGUAUGUAAAGCUCUAUCAGUAGGGAAGAAGAAAAACGAUACCUGACUACAAAGCCCCGACUAACUACGUGCCAGCAGCCGCGGUAAUACGUAGGGGGCAAGCGUUAUCCGGAUUUACUGGGUGUAAAGGGAGCGUAGACGGCUGUGCAAGUCUGAAGGGAAAGCCCGGGGCUCAACCGCGGAACUGCUUUGGAAACUGUAUGGCUUGAGUACUGGAGAGGCAAGCGGAAUUCCUAGUGUAGCGGUGAAAUGCGUAGAUAUUAGGAGGAACACCAGUGGCGAAGGCGGCCUGCUGGACAGAAACUGACGUUGAGGCUCGAAAGCGUGGGGAGCAAACAGGAUUAGAUACCCCUGUAGUC
rnacentral:rRNA from 1 species